rnacentral:rRNA from 1 species
UACGAAGGGGGCGAGCGUUGUUCGGAAUCACUGGGCGUAAAGGGCGCGUAGGCGGCCCUCUUAGUCGCGUGUGAAAGCCCCGGGCUCAACCUGGGAACGGCGCGCGAAACGGGAGGGCUGGAGUUCGGGAGAGGGAAGCGGAAUUCCGGGUGUAGCGGUGAAAUGCGUAGAUAUCCGGAGGAACACCAGUGGCGAAGGCGGCCUUCUGGGCAUUUCCUGACGCUGAGGCGCGAAAGCGUGGGGAGCGAACCGG